rnacentral:snRNA from 1 species
GUGCCCACUUCGGCAGCACAUGUACUAAAAUUGAAACAUACAGAGAAGAUUAGCAUGGUCCCUGCACAAGGAUGACAUGCAAAUUUGUGAAGCAUUCCUUAUUUAUUUAUUUAUUUA